GACGAACGCUGGCGGCGUGCUUAACACAUGCAAGUCGAACGGGCCUGUCUUCUUUUUUGGGGGUGGGUUGAGUGGCGAACGGGUGAGUAUCACGUGAGUAACCUGCCCUUCGGUCCUGGAUAACCGCUUGAAAGGGCGGCUAAUACGGGGUGGUCCGGUUGGUCCGCAUGGGCUGGUCGGGAUAGAUUCACUGUUUUUGGUGUUUCGGCGGGGGAUGGGCUCGCGGCCUAUCAGCUUGUUGGUGGGGUGAUGGCCUACCAAGGCGGUGACGGGUAGCCGGCCUGAGAGGGUGGGCGGCCAGACUGGGACUGAGAUACGGCCCAGACUCCUGCGGGAGGCAGCAGUGGGGGGUAGUGCACAAGGGGCGGAAGCCUGAUGCAGCGACGUCGCGUGAGGGAUGGAGGCCUUCGGGUUGUGAACCUCUGUUUCCGGUGGUGAAGGCCCUGUCCGUGUGGUGGGGUUGACGGUAGCCGGGGAUGAAGCGCCGGCUAACUACGUG
rnacentral:rRNA from 1 species